AUGAACGCUGGCGGCGUGCCUAAUACAUGCAAGUCGAGCGAACGGACGAGAAGCUUGCUUCUCUGAUGUUAGCGGCGGACGGGUGAGUAACACGUGGAUAACCUACCUAUAAGACUGGGAUAACUUCGGGAAACCGGAGCUAAUACCGGAUGAUAUUUUGAACCGCAUGGUUCAAAAGUGAAAGACGGUCUUGCUGUCACUUAUAGAUGGAUCCGCGCUGCAUUAGCUAGUUGGUAAGGUAACGGCUUACCAAGGCAACGAUGCAUAGCCGACCUGAGAGGGUGAUCGACCACACUGGAACUGAGACACGGUCCAGACUCCUACGGGAGGCAGCAGUAGGGAAUCUUCCGCAAUGGGCGAAAGCCUGACGGAGCAACGCCGCGUGAGUGAUGAAGGUCUUCGGAUCGUAAAACUCUGUUAUUAGGGAAGAACAUAUGUGUAAGUAACUGUGCACAUCUUGACGGUACCUAAUCAGAAAGCCGCGGCUAACUACGUG
rnacentral:rRNA from 1 species